rnacentral:tRNA from 1 species
GGGCCCAUAGCUCAGUUGGUUAAAGCGCCUCGUUUGCAACGAGGAGAUCAGGAGUUCGACUCUCCUUGGGUCCA